rnacentral:rRNA from 1 species
UCGAGUUAGUAAGGGCGCGUGGUGGAUGCCUUGGCGCUGAGAGCCGAAGAAGGACGUAGUAGGCUGCGAUAAGCUACGGGGAGCCGCCUGCAGGCAUUGAUCCGUAGGUAUCCGAAUGGGGCAACCCGGCCGGGGUCAUGCCCGGUCACCGCUACCUGAAUAUAUAGGGUAGUCGGGGGUAAGUGGGGGAACUGAAACAUCUAAGUACCCCGAGGAAAAGAGAUUAUUCCCUUAGUAGUGGCGAACGAACGGGGAAGAGCCCAAACCCAUCAGAUGUAAGGUUGCGGCCGUUGUCUGGUGGGGGUUGUGGGGCCGUAGUGGGGUCCUCUGCAAGGGACCCGAGUGGAUAUAGCUAUCUAGUCGAAGUCUUUGGAAUAGGGCACGACAUAGGGUGAUAGUCCCGUAGGCGAAAGGUAGCUAUAGUGCUUGAUUACGGUACCCGAGUACCGCGGGACACGCGGAAUCCCGUGGGAAGCUGGGGGGACCACCCUCCAAGGCUAAAUACUCUCAGCGACCGAUAGUGAACUAGUACCGUGAGGGAAAGGUGAAAAGCACCCCGGAAGGGGGAUGAAAAGAACCUGAAACCACGCGCCUACAAGCAGUCGGAGGGGGAAACCCUGACGGCGUGCCUAUUGAAGAAUGAACCGGCGAGUUACUCUACGUGGCUGGUUAAGGAUGUAAAGGUCCGGAGCCGCAGCGAAAGCGAGUCUGAAUAGGGCGUUUGUCGCGUGGAGUAGACCCGAAACCGGGUGAGCUAUCCAUGGCCAGGCCGAAGCUCUGCUAAACCGGAGUGGAGGGCCGAACCCAUGUAUGUUGCAAAAUGCAGGGAUGAGCUGUGGAUAGGGGUGAAAUGCCAAACGAACCCGGAGAUAGCUGGUUCUCCCCGAAAUGCAUUUAGGUGCAGCCUCGAGAUUAUCCUCGUGGGGGUAGAGCACUGAAUGGGCUAGGGGGCGCGAGCUUACCAAACCCAAUCAAACUCCGAAUACCAUGAGGCGUUGCUCGGGAGUGAGACGGCGGGUGCUAAGAUUCGUCGUCGAGAGGGAAACAACCCAGACCGCCGGCUAAGGUCCCUAAAUCUAGGCUAAGUGUCAAAGGAUGUGGGAUUACCGAAACAGCCAGUAUGUUGGCUUAGAAGCAGCCACCAUUUAAAGAGUGCGUAACAGCUCACUGGUCGAGUGAUCCUGCGCCGACAAUGUAUCGGGGCUCAAGCCUAGUACCGAAGCCGCGGACUCUCGUAAAGAGAGUGGUAGGGGAGCGUCGCACGAGCGGUGAAGUCGUUUCGUAAGGAACGGUGGAGCGAGUGCGAGUGAGAAUGCCGGUAUGAGUAGCAGAAGGUGUGUGAGAAACACACCCACCGAAUGCCCAAGGUUUCCGACGGAAGGCGAGUCCACGUCGGGUUAGUCGGGCCUAAGCCGAGGGCGAAAGCCGUAGGCGAUGGACAAACGGUUUAUAUUCCGUUACCGCUUGCAGAUGAUAAAGUCCCGUUUGGGGGACGCUGUGGGGUAGGCCGGGGGCAGUGCUGGAGCUACUGCCUCCAAGGGUGCAGACUCUUUCGGGAGUCGAGACUCGGGGCAGCUGCGGGGAGACCCAAGGCGAUCCGGCUGAACCUCGGGGCCAAGAAAAGCCUAAACGGGGAAGCUGCAGGCGCCCGUACCGAAAACCGACACAGGUGGGCGGGAGUAAGAACUCUAAGGUGGACGGGAGACCCCUCGUUAAGGAACUCGGCAAAUUAGCCCCGUAACUUCGGGAGAAGGGGCGCCCUCUGGGGUGAUCGUAAGUGAGCUCUGGGGGGCCGCAGUGAGCAGGCCCAGGCGACUGUCUAACAAAAACACAGGUCCCUGCUAAAGCGAGAGCUGAUGUAUAGGGGCUGACGCCUGCCCGAUGCCGGAAGGUUAAGGGGAGAGGUGAGAGCCUUGAACCGAAGCCCCGGUCAAUGGCGGCCGUAACUAUAACGGUCCUAAGGUAGCGAAAUUCCUUGUCGGGUAAGUUCCGACCCGCACGAAUGGCGUAACGAUCUGGGCGCUGUCUCAACGAGGGACCCGGCGAAAUUGAAUUGACGGUGAAGAUGCCGUCUACCCGUGACAGGACAAAAAGACCCCGUGGAGCUUUACUGCAGCCUGACAUUGGAUCGGGGUGCAGCAUGCGUAGGAUAGGUGGGAGGCUUGGAAGGAGUCCCUCUGGGGGCUCUGGAGCCGACGUUGAAAUACCACCCUUGCUUCGCUUUGAUCCUAACCUGCAGCCAUUAUCUGGCGUGGGGAAAGUGUCUGGUGGGCAGUUUGACUGGGGCGGUCGCCUCCCAAAAGGUAACGGAGGCGCACAAAGGUUCCCUCAGGCUGAAUGGAAACCAGCCAUUGAGCGCAUUGGUAUAAGGGAGCUUGACUGCGAGACGUACAUGUCGAGCAGGGGCGAAAGCCGGUCAAAGUGAUCCUCUGGCUCUUUGUGGAAAGGCCAGGGCUUAACGGAUAAAAGCUACCCCGGGGAUAACAGGCUUAUCCUGCCCGAGAGUCCAUAUCGACGGCAGGGUUUGGCACCUCGAUGUCGGCUCGUCGCAUCCUGGGGCUGGAGUAGGUCCCAAGGGUUGGGCUGUUCGCCCAUUAAAGCGGUACGCGAGCUGGGUUCAGAACGUCGUGAGACAGUUCGGUCUCUAUCCGUCACGGGCGUAGGGGAUUUGCGGGGAGCUGCCCCCAGUACGAGAGGACCAGGGUGGACAGACCUCCGGUGUGCCAGUCGUCCUGCCAAGGGCGCUAAGCUGGGUAGCCGACGUCUGGAAGAGAUAAGCGCUGAAAGCAUCUAAGUGCGAAGCUCGCCCCAAGAUGAGAUCCCCCACAGAGUUAAUCUGGUAAGGCCGCAGAUAGACCAUCUGCUCGAUAGGCCGCACGUGUAAGAUGGGUAACCAUCUCAGCUUAGCGGUACUAAUGGCCGAGGACUCGACUC